rnacentral:sRNA from 1 species
CCCACGGCUUACGCCGUGGGCUCUAUUCUUUCGCCGCUUUGCGGCU